UACGGGGGGAGCAAACGUUGUUCGGAAUCACUGGGCGUAAAGGGCGUGUAGGCGGCUGGAUAAGUGGGAUGUUAAAUCCCCCGGCUCAACCGGGGACCUGCAUCUCAUACUGUUCAGCUCGAGCACAUCAGAGGAGACUGGAAUUCCCGGUGUAGCGGUGAAAUUCGUAGAUAUUAGGAAGAACACCGGUGGCGAAGGCGGGUCUCUGGACAGUUCCUGACACUGAGACACGAAGGCCAGGGGAGCAAACGGG
rnacentral:rRNA from 1 species